rnacentral:rRNA from 1 species
UAAACGGCGGCCGUAACUAUAACGGUCCUAAGGUAGCGAAAUUCCUUGUCGGGUAAGUUCCGACCUGCACGAAUGGCAUAAUGAUGGCGGCGCUGUCUCCAGCAGAGGCUCAGUGAAAUCGAAAUCGCUGUGAAGAUGCAGUGUACCCGCGGCUAGACGGAAAGACCCCGUGAACCUUUACUGCAGCUUGACACUGAACUUUGACCUUACUUGUGUAGGAUAGGUGGGAGGCUUUGAAGCUGGAACGCUAGUUCCAGUGGAGCCGUCCUUGAAAUACCACCCUGGUAAUGUUGAGGUUCUAACUCUGUCCCGUGAUCCGGGACGAGGACCGUGUCUGGUGGGUAGUUUGACUGGGGCGGUCUCCUCCUAAAGAGUAACGGAGGAGUACGAAGGUGCGCUCAGCGUGGUCGGAAAUCACGCGUAGAGUAUAAAGGCAAAAGCGCGCUUAACUGCGAGACCCACAAGUCGAGCAGGUACGAAAGUAGGUCUUAGUGAUCCGGUGGUUCUGUAUGGAAGGGCCAUCGCUCAACGGAUAAAAGGUACUCUGGGGAUAACAGGCUGAUACCGCCCAAGAGUUCAUAUCGACGGCGGUGUUUGGCACCUCGAUGUCGGCUCAUCUCAUCCUGGGGCUGAAGCAGGUCCCAAGGGUAUGGCUGUUCGCCAUUUAAAGAGGUACGCGAGCUGGGUUUAGAACGUCGUGAGACAGUUCGGUCCCUAUCUACCGUGGGCGCUGGAAAUUUGAGAGGAUCUGCUCCUAGUACGAGAGGACCAGAGUGGACGAACCUCUGGUGUACCGGUUGUGACGCCAGUCGCAUCGCCGGGUAGCUAUGUUCGGAAGGGAUAACCGCUGAAAGCAUCUAAGCGGGAAGCCUACCUCAAGAUAAGAUUUCCCUAGGACUUUAUGUCCUCUAAAGAGCCGUUCGAGACUAGGACGUUGAUAGGUUGGAUGUGGAAGCAUAGUGAUAUGUGAAGCUGACCAAUACUAAUUGCUCGUGAGGCUUGACUAU